AAGAGUCUAAGAAACACAGAAUCACUUUCUAAUGACAUCCCCAAAAGACAACAAAGAAAGGUAUUACAGCAACACAGGACAUGCCUAGCCAGUGUGGCCCAGAUUUUUAAAAACUUGGGUUUUAAAAAACUUGGGCUAGGCUGCUCCCUUGUGGGGGCUGUUCAUGGCGGUUCCUGGGUCUCCAACAUUUUUCCCAGCUCUUGCUUUGAUUUUGGCCUAAAUCUGUCCAAAGCAAAGGCAGCAGAGCUUGAGGUUCUUGUAGGAGUGAAAUGACUGAGUACAAACUGGUGGUACCUGGAGCAACUGGUGUUGGGAAAAGCGCACUGGCAAUCCAGCUAAUCCAGAACCACUUUUUGUAGAUGAAUAUGAUCCCACCAUAGAGGAUUCUAACCAUCACAGGUGGUUAUAGACAGUGAAACCUGUCUGCUGGGCAUUCUCAAUACAGCUAGACAAGAAUAGUCCAGUGCCGUGAGAGACCAAUACAUGAGGACAGGUGAAGACUUCCUCUGUGUAUUUACCAACAAUAACAGCAAGUCAUUUGUGGAUAUUAACUUCUACAGCGAGCAGAUUAGGUGGGUGAAAGACUGAAAUUAUGUACCUAUGGUGCUAGUGGGAAGCAAGUGUGAUUUGCCAACAAGUACAGUUGAUAUAAAACAAGCCCACAAACUGGCCAAAAGUUACAGUAUUCCAUUCAUUGAAACCUCAGCCAAGACCAGACAGGGUGUUGAAGAUGUUUUUUACACACUGGUAAGGGAAAUACACCACCACGAAAUGAAAAACCUCAACAGCACUGAUGAUGGGACUCAGGGUUGUAUGGGAUUGCCAUGUGUGGUGAUGUAACAAGAUACUUUUAAAGUUUUAUCAGAAAAGAGCCACUUUCAAGCUGCACUGACGCUCUGAUCCUGACUUCCCAGGAGAAGUAUUCCUGUUGCUAUCUUCAGUCUCACAGAGAAGCUUCUGUUGCUUCCCCAACUCUCAGUAUUUUAGUACGAUAUUCUCUAUUUGAUAAGUUCUCAGAAUAACUACCUCCUCGCUUGGCUGUCUGACCAGAGAACUGCACCUUUUGUUACUCUCUGCUAUUUUUCUGCCCUGGGUUCUUCCACAACGCAAACACACCUCUGCCACCCCAGGUUUUUCAUCUGAAAAGCAGUUCAUGUCUGAAACAGAGAACCAAAUGGCAAACAUGAAAUUCUACUGAAAACAGUGUCUUGAGCUGUAAAGUGGCAACUACCAGUGAUUUUUUUUUUAUUUUACUAUUGAACUUAGAACUAUGCUAAUUUUUGGAGAAAUGUCAUAAAUUACUGUUUUGCCAGGAAGAUAGUUAUUACUGCUGUUUGGUUUGUCUGUAACGUUAUUGGCUGUAUUCUCUAAACUGGCAUCUGCUCGAGAUUCAUAAAUACAAAAAUGAAUACAGAAUUUUGAGUCUAACCUAGUCUUCUCAACUUUCAUGUAAUUAAAUCCAACUUUCACAGUGAAAUGCCUUUUUCCUAGAAGUGGUUUGUAGACUUCCUUUGCAAUAUUUCAGUGGAGUAGAUGUCUCAAACUUCCUUAUGCAUGAAAAUGAAUAUCUGAGAUACAUCUGUGACUUAUCUACCAUUGAGAGAAAGCUGUAUCUAUAUGAGAGCAGAUGUCAUUUUGUACA